AAUUUAUUAACCUCUGCGGUAAAAGCAGGAGAGAGAACACUCAACGCUAUUUUCCCAUGAAAAGGGUGGUUAGGGGAAGGGGUGUUUAUGGAUGCAGUGGGAUGGGGGGAAGGAGAGGGGGUUAAAGAAGCAGAGUGCAUUUCCCCCAACAUGCAUCUAAGUUUUUAAGGAUUAAAGAGGUAUCCGUAAUCCACACAGGACAUCCCUUUUCCCUUCUGCACUUUCCUCUCCCCGUUUUCACUGAUACUUCUCCCAGAAGUCACAGUCCUUGCCUCUAAAAGACCCUACUCUCUAUUGGAGAGAAAAACAGAAAGUAAAUAAAUAAAUAGAAAAGGCAGCAGGUAAUUUAGGGACCAUGUUGAUGACCAUGUUGAUGAGUUCGGAGAAAGGGAGGUCAGGAAAGGCUUCUGGAAGGAACUUCAAGGCCAUUGCAGAUCCUGCUCCUGUGAUACGAAAUAGGUUGUGUCUCACUCUCCAUGAGGCUGAGGGGGAUUCCCUUCCUCUCACUGCCCCAGCGGGCUACUUUCUCUUCCCAUCUCCCAAGAUGGGAGAUCCUUCUGCAGCUAUGCCUGUCAUUUCACUGGAAUAGCUCAGCUUCCCACUUUACCUGGAACCUUCCUGCGGGCUGGCAGGGCUUGCAGAGACUCAGCAGUAUGCUGAAGAGUGCGUGUAAUUUCCUCUCAAGGGAAAAGGAGGGAGGAGGGGCGCAGAAAGCCACACUCCUCCCUGGGCUUAGGCGCUGAGAAAGGGGGAGCAGGAGGGAAGAAGAGUCCAUGAAUGCUGCUAAUAACCACAAUAGUAACAUUUACACAGCACUUACUGUGCAGGGAGCUGUUCAAAGCAAUUUACAAGGGCUAUUAACCCAGGUGGAGCCUGACUCCCCUGCCCUUGAGUGUGGGCUGAACGGAGUGGCUCCCUUCUAAUGAGAGAAUUCGGCGGAAGUGAUGGUUUGUGACUUCCAAGACCAGGUCAUAAAAGACAUUGCACUUCCUCCUUGUCCUCCCUGGUGAACUGUGGAUUGCUCGCUCUGGGGGAAGCUGGCUGCUAUGUCAUAAGAUCACUCAAACAGCCCUAUGGAGAGGACCUCAUGGCAAGGAACUGUGGAGUCCUGCCAUCCAUCAACAAAGCACUGGGGCCCUCCGGCAAGUAACCACUGAGUGAGCCAAAUCGGGAGUGAAUCUUCCGGCCCCAGUCAAUCCUCAAAAUGAUUACAGCCCCAGUUGACAUCUUGACGCCUCCUCACGAGAAACCCUGAGCCGGAGCCAUCCUCCUAAACUGCUUCCACAUUCCUGACCCUCAGAAACUGUGAGAUAAUAAAUGUUCAUUGUUUUACGCUGAUUAAUUGUGGAGUAGUUUGUUAUGUAGCAAUAAAUAACUAAUACAGCCAUCUUCACCCCUACCCCACCCCCAGGGCCCCCCACGUUGACUUGGAGCUGGGAAUCUGCCAGGGCUGCAAUAGAAAAGUGUUCUGACGUCCCAAG
rnacentral:lncRNA from 1 species